rnacentral:sRNA from 1 species
GUUAAUGUUUGAUCAAGUGUAACUUAAUUUUCACUAGUAUCAUACUUGGUAACUCUUUAUUUGGAAUUCCAGUUCAGCAUCUUUUACUUUUUUAGUUGCAGAUCUUUUGUUGAUACUUUAAAUUUUGACUGAAGAAAUAUAGUUGAUAUAUUCUUUCCGCCACCUUAUUAUAGGAUGAAAUUCAUGUAUGGUCCACAAAACAGAGAGGGAGGGUAACUUCAUUUGGUGGGGCUGGCAUAGAUUUUUUCCAAUGACAGUUUAUUGCUCCCAUUCUUAGAUUGAUAUUAUGGAGUUAAAUUUGUUUCGAACACGUGCCACUAUGUAAAGGCUGGUUGAGAUUGUGAACCUUCAAAGUUUUAAUCAGAAAUUUACUACUAUCAUUAUUAUGAAAAGCAUGCAAUGCUUUUCUUUUCUCAUCCAGCUUAUUUCAUUCGUUCACUCCCUGCCAUAUUCCGUAGUUUAGAAUGGAAAAGCUCCUAGUUUAAUUUUAUUUGCACUAAUUUCUGUUGUUACUGUCUAUAGAUGGAUUCUAAACUACCAAUUGACAUUUUGGAAAAUGUUAUGCAACUGGCAAUCGAAGGCUGCAAAGCAAUAGCAAACUACAUUCGAGAAAUUUUGCUGGAGAACACAAAGCAACUGGAGUAUCGACGAGGUGUAUAGUUUUUAUAGCAGAAAUGAUGCUAUGAUUAUUAUUACCUGUGGUCACGGUUUUCCAGAUUUGUAGGUCCGUUCUUUCAGCAUUUGUGCUUUUUUUGGUUAUGGAGGAGAAUUCUCUUGUAUUUACGUGGAACAAUUUUGUUUUUAGCAUACGGUGCUGAAUAAAACGGAAAAUUGUUGUAGAAUUCGUUUCUCAUUUCUGUCACCUUAUCACUAUGAAUAAAAGGUAGCAAAAUUAUGAUUUAUUUUGGGACCACUUUCUGAAUUUCCACCAAUCCCCCAAAAUAAGACGUGUAGAAUGGAACUAAUGAUCUGACACUUCAACGAAUGAAGAAUUAAUGAUUGAAGUUAGAAUCAAAA